UCAGGCUCGACCCAUAUAUUCAUCCUGUAGGACUCUUCAAAAACCCUCUUUUCCCAUCUCCCAGGAAUAUGCGGAAGAUUCCAUGAGAGAGCUGGGGGACAGUAGAGAAGCUAAAAAGGCCACGUGAAAUGCCACUCACCAACCAUUAACAUCCAAACAGGACUUUGUGAAUUUGACUCAACUGCAUGACUUGAAAAUAGGAGCAAGACUCUUUCUUAUCCAGUAAGCUAGCCUAGGCAUCUACUUGGCCAUUGCCUGAUUAAAAGAUGAUGAAAACUAAGGCCCAGAAGUAAAGUAACUUAUUCAAGGUCCAGCAGACCUUACCUGCCAAGAGGAGAAGACAGAUGCUGGGCUGAUCAGAUUCGGAUUUGCUGGGUUGCGCCCUCCAAUGUACUCAUCUGUGCAAACGUCACAGUUUUCUGCAUCUCGCCAAUCCCAG